GAAAUAAUAAGCACACUAUGGUACUUACUGUGUGCCAGACACUGUUCUAAAUGCUUUGUUCUAAAUGCUUUAUAGACAUGAACUCAUUCAAUCCCUGUAACAACUCUGUAAGUUCUAAAAUGGACACGGCCACCAGAGAGAGAGCAAGAAGCCUAGAGGCCCCCAAAGAGAACUACGGAGAAGCUAUUUGAGGUAAAGCUCAUGCUUUCAGCUGGAUAUUCCCAGGAUACACUGAGUAUUCCCAGGAUACACUGAAUACCCUUUUUUGGUCCAGGGACCAUGGGACUUGGGAACCACUUGCCGAUCCCCAAGGUGCUGGCAGUGAGCAGGGGGGGUGGAGUGAGGGGCACUUGCCUCAUUUCCCAGUGCCUCAAACAUGGGAUAAAUACUCUUUAACAAUCCUGAGGAGAAGAAAGCAUUGAUGUGAAAAGCUAGUCAAGAAUUAAAAUUUCGAAUAAAGGGGUCAGAGUGUAGUCUCCUCUGGCAUAAAGAGACAGAAAUAGGAAUGGUAAGACAACUACACAAGGUGUUCAUUUUGAUCCUACAUGUGCACCUCUGGAAGCUUACCACCAUCACCCUUCAGAAGGCUCAGACUUACAAACACACAAACCUUUCAUUCUGAAAGGAAGUGUUAGCAAUAAUCAGUCUCCCGUUCUCCAGAUAACGAUGGUGCCUCCCAGAAAGCCAUCAGCCUAAAAGAUCAUUGAGUCAGGGGCAAUUCUAGGAUUAGAAUUCAUGAAGGUAGAAGAAGAUGGCUGAAGUGUUCAGAAGAAGUACAUUUCCUGAUAGCAAUUCAAUUAUUCGGAGGAAAAUGGAAAGUCCUGGAAACAACUGUCUUCUACUAGCAAGACAGGUCAGCAGCCUCAGCUGGGAAUUAUCUACACAAAUGAUAGGGGUGUGAAGAGGGGACGCUCUACUUGGUGUUCUGCAACCAAGAACAUGUGGAGAACAGGGGUGACAAGGAGCCAAAGAGCGCAGUUUGGUUUCUCACUUGAAAUGCUGAGCCACCUGGAGCAAAGAAAUGGACUGUCUCAGCAAUGCUAUGGGAAGGUUAUCCCACGCUCAGGCUUUCUAUCUGCGAGCAUCAUUAAAGCAAGGGAGUGAUGCGCCAGGCACAAAAUUAUCCUUCACAAAUAAAA
ensembl:lncRNA